GCGAAUACCGGAGAAUGUUAUCACGGGAGACACACGGCGGGUGCUAACGUCCGUCGUGAAGAGGGAAACAACCCAGACCGCCAGCUAAGGUCCCAAAGUCAUGGUUAAGUGGGAAACGAUGUGGGAAGGCCCAGACAGCCAGGAUGUUGGCUUAGAAGCAGCCAUCAUUUAAAGAAAGCGUAAUAGCUCACUGGUCGAGUCGGCCUGCGCGGAAGAUGUAACGGGGCUAAACCAUGCACCGAAGCUGCGGCAGCGACACUGUGUGUUGUUGGGUAGGGGAGCGUUCUGUAAGCCUGUGAAGGUGUGUCGUGAGGC
rnacentral:rRNA from 2 species